AUUGAACGCUGGCGGAAUGCUUAACACAUGCAAGUCGAGCGGGGUGUAGCAAUACAUCUAGCGGCGGACGGGUGAGGAAUACAUAGGAAUCUGCCUCAGAGCGGGGGAUAGCCCGGGGAAACCCGGAUUAAUACCGCAUGAUGUCGCAAAGAACCAAAGGUGGGGGACCGCAACGGCCCCACACUCUGAGAGGAGCCUAUGUCUGAUUAGCUAGUU
rnacentral:rRNA from 1 species